AGGUCCAAUUUUACAUGCCCU
rnacentral:miRNA from 1 species